UCCCAUUCUCAAUGGAGCAGCUUGCCAAGGUUUGGUGUAGCGGUACAAACUGCACCACUUCAUGCUGUUUCAUUCUCCUGCUGCCCUGGUCCUGUGAGAGUCCCCGAGUAAGGGAGAGCUGGGGAGGCAGGAAAUUAUUUAAAGAGACAGACAUGCCAUCCUCCAUGAAAGAAAACUUCUUUCACCUCUUAUGAAGACCAGCAGUGUUCCAGUACAUUACGUGGGACCAGGAACAUAAAGUCCAUCUUGUCGUGUUUCUGCUCAGCUUCCUUGGAUAUAUGUUCCACACCCAGGCCAAGUAAGGGCUGUCAAGGGCAAACUUUGUGUCUCGCCAGAAGCUCCCUGAAGGUGCCCCCUGCCUCUUGCUUGUAUCUGGCAGUUGCUGAGAAACCUGUGAUCUUCCCACUCCAAUUUGCCACAGUACAGCUUUUCGUCUCUGGACCAUCUUGCUGCCUUUGCUUUUCUCGAUGAAGUUGUGAAAGUCGCAAUGGCAUCUACAAACAACUGAAAGUUUUACUGGAACUGAAAUCAACAGUAGCUGGUACAGCUACUGCACCCAAGCCAGAAGACUAAAGGCCCAGAAAGUUCUGGCGUUACAAGUGAAGAAUGACUUACUGCUUACUCUCCAGCAGGAAAGGGUCAAGCAAACAAAGAACAGCCCAAAGUGUAUGAGCCAAAGCACAUCUAUAAAAAGAACAAUUCCCUUUAGCUCUUGGGAUGAUGCCCAAACCACAGAAAUGUUUGCUUAGGGGUGAUAUUUUUAAAAAAAAUUCAUUUCUUGAUUAUUAGCCUUCCAGUGUCCCUUUACAUACAUCUGUAUGGAAAAGGCAUGAAUGGUGGCUACAGUCACAGACCUGGGUCCUGCACUAGCUUUGGAUGUAAUGUGUUUAUACAGCUUCCUUUGCCAUGGGUUAGCAGCACCUGGGGUUUAUUUUUCAUUGCAAUACCUCUAUGUGAUGGGGAACUGCAAUUAAUAAUGCUCUUGUACGAGAGUGAGGAUAGUGGGGUGAACUCGGGGAGCUUAGUUACUGAGAUACUUUUAGCCAAUUUCUUAUCAGUAACCUCCAGAAGGAGUGAACUUAAGAGGACAGGUAUUGUUAAAGCACACAGAAAGAGGUAGAGAAAGAGUAGAAAGAAAGAGGUAAUUGUGAGUCCUCUGCCAGCAGAGAAGUCACUCUACAGCUGUCCCAUCAGCCUUCAGCUUUCACCUCCAUAGGGUUAAGUGUUACACCCUCACUGUCCCUGUUCCCCCUCUGUGCAGGAUGGGCAAUCAUCACUCUUCUUCCACUGAGACCCUGGCAGGGUUAAGGCAUUCCCGUAUAUGUCAAUUUUUCACAGAAUAAACACUAGCUUGGGAAUGUUAACAUCAUCUUUAUUGUUUCAGCGUUGCAGGUCUGGCAGCAGCACAAGCAGGCUGAUGAGCCCACUGGCUGCAGCAGAGGAACCCAGAAACAGGCAGCAGGAUUGAGGUGGGGUCCGUGGCACAAAGCACUGCCAAAGGCAGCUCUGCAGACCCUCUGGAUCAGGAUGCGCAGGGUCAUCACGUGGGCACUCCUUUUGCUAUUGAGAAACACAGAGAGAUCAUUGAAUCUCCUGCAUCCAGCAAAGGGGAUGUUUUUGAGGAAAACCCUGUUAAUAGCCACAAGCUGUUUUGUGCAGAUAUUAAGACUCCUGAAGAAUUUCUUCCAAGACAGACCCUUACCCAGGCCCCAGGGCCAGAAAUUGUAUUUUUCCCUUGAGAGGCGCUGCCCCAGUGAAAGCUCAGGUCCAAAAAGUGCAUCUCAGCAGACUCACAGGAGAGUCUUUGAUUUUUUUCACAUGGCAAGAAUGCCUGGAAAUAUAUGUGAAGGCCAGUAGAGCCUGAUCACCCCCCUGAGCCUUGCUGCAAAGCAGCUCUCUGGAAGAGGGUUGACUCCUCCACAUCUUGUGCCUGGGCUCCCUGUCUUCUCCAUCUGCUGUCCCUGAACUGCCAGGGACCAGGCACAUCUUCAUGGUUUGGCCUGGAGGAAAUAAUAAUUUUCCAACAAAUAUGCACACGUGUUCCAAGCUAUUUUGAAGCCAUAUGAAGUUGAUUUCCCGUUCUGCCUUGGAGUGACUGUAAUUUUAUCCCAGUAUCACCAAAUUUUCCAUAAACCUAAAAAAUCCCUAUCUUUGAGAUUUCUCUUCUGCCUUUUUUUUUUUUUUUUUAAAAAACUGUUAUGAUAAAUCGGAUUUAGUUUGGUUCAGGAAAUACCACUGGGUGAGCAUAUCCAACAGAUCUGCAGACAGCUGAACUGCUUAAUCCCGAGUACGGGUGAGAAAGGGUUUUAGCUAAGGCUAUCAGGAGAGGAGGAGGCUUGGUCCUCUUCAAACUGCAGCCAGUCUUUCUGCAGCAUCAAGGCUAAGAGUCCUUCCAACCACUGUGAUUCUGUGAUUGAUUCUGUGAUUGCAGGGGGGGUGGACUAGAUGACUUUUAAAGGUCCCUUCCAACCCAAACUAUUCAAGAGCACACAUGUUGUAUCUUCAUCAGGUCAUCCGUCAUCACAUGGAAGUUGCUAACUCCUUUUCAGUAAUCUGAAAACAAAGCCCAGUAGGAGUUUGGUUUGUUUGGGCCUUUUUGUUUGAUUUAUUUAGAGCUCAGCCCUUGUUCAGUUGUAUCUGGUGACAGAACUGGUCACCUCUGGAAAUCCCACUCAUGUGAUUCCUGCUGCUGACUGUGGCCUUUGUUCUCCUGACCUGCGGCUGAAUGUCGCACCAUCCAGUUCAUCACAGGAGAGAUAUGGAUUCGAUGAGGCAGACAGUAAAAAUGGAAAGGGACCACCAGCCAGGCCCAGCUCUGCCUGCCGUGGUGAGCUUCACCUCCCACGGGUUUGGCUCCUGUGCUGUGUGAGACCAGACUCUGCUUCACAAAAAGUCCUUUCUCUUAGGGAGAAUGCUCCCCAAGGCAGGAUGUCUUUGAAGUAAAAUGGUCCUAGGGAAUGAAGGAAAGAUGAAAGCAGGGAGAUGUGGCUGAGGGCAUCCUGACUGGGACCUCUCAGUCUUCCACACAUCAUCAAGUGACCUGCCACCAUGCCCACAAGCUCCUGUAAAUCACAGCCUCACAACAGAGGUGAAGCCAGCUUGUGCACCAUCGGAUCUUUUCUGUGUCAGAGCAUUCUGAGAUGGCAUUGAUUGAGGCUGCAGACCACAUCUGGGCAUCAAGGAGAAAAGAGAGAGCAUGCUGGAUAGGGAGGAGCUCUGAGAACAGCUUUGUGGGCUCUUUCCUCUGCAAAGCCCAGGGGGCUGCAGUGAGGCUGACAAGGGGUGGAGAUUCUUGUGUAAUGUCAUGGGUAAGACAAACAGGAGGUUCGUUUCAGGGCUGCAGUGUCUCCCUUGCUUAGAUUGUGAGGACUGAGAAACCUUUUGAAGCAGAAAAACAAGCCAAAGGAAAAGCAUCGUGCUGGAGCCUCUGUCUCACCCGGCUGCUUUUCCACUGAGCACCCUGCAGUCGUUCCAUUUUCACUCUCUGCCCUUUAGCAACACAACCAGAAACCCUGUCACGGUAAUAUAGCGCCGUGUUUGCCAAAGGUGCUGUUUUCCUGAGCUGUGCAAUGACAAACUAUUCACACAAGGCUCUCGUAAGGUGGAGCAGAAUGGAGCCUCUUUGGGUCUAUGGCUAGAGGUAAACUAUGUGUCCUGGGAAGUCCCAGGGCAGCAGCAGUGCCCUAUCAAAUUAUAUUCUUCUUCAGCCGGGUGUAACUCCUAAGUCACCAGGCCAUAAUACUGGGAGCACUGCAGGCAGUGAUGCAACAGCAAAGAGCCUCUGAGAGAAAAAACAGUCUAAAUUAUGAUAAGGGCAGCUCCACCUGGUCUCAUUUCCAAUUAAAAGCUAACACCUGUGCCUGUAUCACAAGAACUUGUGAUUUGCAUCUGAAAAACUGAAGCUGGGCCCACGUGUUCAUGCAUCCAGGACGCCAAAAGACCUGCUGUCCACCUGAGGUCAGGGUUUGCCCAGAGCAGGCAGAGCCAGGGGAGCAUUAUGGCUUGGCACAGGAGUGGCCAGGGGAGCAUCAGCUGUAGCCACCCUGUUGGGCUGGCUUGUUUCAGGAAAAAGGCUUGCACAGGGUAUGUGGUGCUUUGCAUGCAGAAGGUGACCCUGCCUGCCUUGGCAAACAUUGAUCGCUGUAUAUUUUUUGGGGCUUACUAACACAGAAGGUCAUGGGCUAAUGGACAUGGUGUCCCAGGAGGUUGGGUAUAGCCUAAAAUUGCUCAGAGAUGGAGCUUGUCAGCAUCUCUCAAGAGCAAGUCUUUAAACAUGUAUUUUCUGGGAGCCUUUUAAACCCCAAAUCUCUGUGUACUAGGCUGCAAUCUUGUUAUCUGCUAGCAGGCAGCAGGCUAAUGAGUUUUCUUGAGAAAGGAAGAGCUGACAGUAAUGAAAGGGAGAAUACGUGAGCUUAUGAGGAAAAAAAAAAUUAAAAGAGAAGAUAAAUGAACUGCUGAAUUGUUCAUGUCAUGAUAAUUACAUAAAGGCAUUCGAACUUAGCAAUUUCUCUAAAAAUGGUGUGACUUGCUGCUCCUUCCCAGGCUUUCACCCUGCAGUCACUGCUGUGGCUUUGCAGCAGCAAGGUCCCGGACCACAGCCAGCCCCAGGGAUGUCACCCGGGGCUGCCAAAGAGGGAAACCAAAAACAAGAGCCUCCUUCGAGGGAAAGAACCCCCCCUGGCCACACAGAGAUCUUUUCCCAGCAGUUCUCUGGUCGGGGAGCAGCGGGAAUGUUUCCUGUGGUGGGAAGGUUUAGGGGGCAGCGAGGCAGGAC